rnacentral:rRNA from 1 species
CAGCAGCCGCGGUAAUACGGAGGGUGCAAGCGUUAAUCGGAAUUACUGGGCGUAAAGCGCACGCAGGCGGUCUGUCAAGUCAGAUGUGAAAUCCCCGGGCUUAACCUGGGAACUGCAUUUGAAACUGGCAGGCUAGAGUCUUGUAGAGGGGGGUAGAAUUCCACGUGUAGCAGUGAAAUGCGUAGAUAUGUGGAGGAACACCGAUGGCGAAGGCAGCCCCCUGGGCUAAGAUUGACGCUCAUGCACGAAAGCGUGGGGAGCAAACAGGAUUAGAUACCCGAGUAGUCCCUGUCUCUUAUAC